rnacentral:rRNA from 1 species
AACGAACGCUGGCGGCAGGCUUAACACAUGCAAGUCGAACGCCCCGCAAGGGGAGUGGCAGACGGGUGAGUAACGCGUGGGAACAUACCCUUUUCUACGGAAUAGCUCUGGGAAACUGGAAUUAAUACCGUAUACGCCCUACGGGGGAAAGAUUUAUCGGGGAAGGAUUGGCCCGCGUUGGAUUAGCUAGUUGGUGGGGUAAAGGCCUACCAAGGCGACGAUCCAUAGCUGGUCUGAGAGGAUGAUCAGCCACAUUGGGACUGAGACACGGCCCAAACUCCUACGGGAAGCAGCAGUGGGGAAUAUUGGACAAUGGGCGCAAGCCUGAUCCAGCCAUGCCGCGUGAGUAAUGAAGGCCUUAGGGUUGUAAAGCUCUUUCACCGAUGAAGAUAAUGACGGUAGUCGGAGAAGAAGCCCCGGCUAACUUCGUG